AACGAACGCUGGCGGCAUGCCUAACACAUGCAAGUCGAACGGUGUAGCAAUACACAGUGGCGCACGGGUGCGUAACACGUAUGCAACCUACCUUACAUUGGGGGAUAGCCUUUCGAAAGGGAGAUUAAUACCGCAUAAGACAGUAACUAGGCAUCUAGUAGCUGUUAAAGAUUUAUCGAUGUAAGCUGGGCAUGCGUCCAAUUAGUUAGUUGGCGAGGUAAUGGCUCACCAAGACGAUGAUUGGUAGGGGAACUGAGAGGUCAAUCCCCCACACUGGCACUGAGAUACGGGCCAGACUCCUACGGGAGGCAGCAGUAGGGAAUAUUGGGCAAUGGGCGCAAGCCUGACCCAGCCAUGCCGCGUGCAGGAAGAAGGCGUUAUGCGUUGUAAACUGCUUUUAUACAGGAAGAAACGACCCUUGCGAGGGGCAUUGACGGUACUGUAUGAAUAAGCACCGGCUAACUCCGUGCCAGCAGCCGCCGUAAAAC
rnacentral:rRNA from 1 species